ACGUAUAACAUUAUUUAUUAUUUGUAUAUAUAUAACAUAUAUAUAUUUUUGUAAACAUAUGAUAACAUAUAAUAUAUAUGUAUUAUAUAUAAGGAUGUAAAAUAUAUUUCUAUUUUCUAUUAUACAUUAUAUAUAUAUAUAUAUAUAUAUAUAUAUAUUUAAUAGAUAAUAUAAGAGAAGCGAGGAGAAGUUGAUUAUUAGGCUGAAGAUGAAAAGAUUUGGGAUUAAGAAAAAGAUGAAUGGCUAAGGUGGUGUUAUCUUCAACUUGGCGAGCUUCGGUGGUUGGUGGAACAGUUAGAGGUGAUUGUGGAUGGAUAGAAUAAGAAAGAAGAAAAAAGGGGACACCAGCGAUCAUUCGAGAGGCUUCCAUUUGAAUUCAUCGUUCUCUCUUCUGUCUUCGAUUCAUUGACCCGUAAACAGAAUGAAGAUUCUAUGGAAAGAAAAUUUGCUUGGGUUGCGUUUUUUUCAACUCAUUCAGCGUAAGUAGCUCCACAACUAAAGCGCAUUGCUUUCCAUGGCCAGGUAUAUGUGCAAUCUAUAGUUUUAUGGCCAGCGGGCCACUUUAGGCUUCAUCUUUCAUCCUUCAAGCCUUCAAGGUCAGCCGGCUGCUCUGCUCCGCUUUCAGCCCAAGGUUCCUACGUGUGCUCUCCGCUUCAGCCUUCUGGCCCUUCUACCUUCAACUUUUAGCUGAAGGUUCCUGCUUGUGCUUCUCUUUCUCCAUCUCCUCGAACAAAGACAUGCUUGUUGCACUCUGCUCAUCUCUUUUGCAGCGUGAGGUGAGGUCUUCCUGUUGCAUGGGGCUAUUCUGAACUAUGUCAGAUAUGCUACACGUCUGAAGCGUACUAAUGCUAAGAAAGCCCUAAGGGAUCUGCUGUCCAAAAGCACCUCUAAGUUUUCAUUUCAGUUUUCAGCUUUGAUGUAAUGUUCACGACUCAUGAUUGUGUGGAGAGCUUCUAUAUGAAUUGUGAGAAGCACAACAUGCUGGUUUGCUUCUUCUCUGAACAUGGUCUCUUGCAACUGAAGCAAAGGAGCUUGGUUUCUCCUGCACCUUCCUGAUUUCAAUGAUAAGAUCAACUGUUAGCAAUCAGCUCACAAUGGAGAAGUUCUGAAGGACAUGAAGAAAGUUUUGACUUCUCAGGGGCCAAUCUGGGCUCUUACAUUCUUUCUUGUUAGGAUGUUAGUCUUAUAGACAUCCUGUAGUUAAAGAAUAAACUUUUGAAAGUUAAGGCAGCAUGAUGUAUUGGGACCUGCAUUUUACCAUGCCUUUGGGACACACAUUUUCUGUGGUCUGUUGAUUAAAUGCUUUAUUUAUGUGGCCUCUUAUAAUUUAUACUGCUGCUAAUAUUACGUGUUGGGAGGCUGGAAUGUGAAUUGUCAUCUGCAAAAUCAUAAUAUUACGUGUUGGGAGGCUGGAAUGUGAAUUGUCAUGUGCAAAAUCAUAAUAUUACAUGUUGGGAGGCAGGAAUGUGAAUUGUCAUGCAUGUGGUUGAGAAUGAGGUUCUCCUGCUUUGCCUAUUUCUAUACGUGCAUUGCUGGGUUAUACAGACUCAUAUGGGACAAUU